UACGAAGGGGGGCUAGCGUUGCUCGGAAUCACUGGGCGUAAAGGGUGCGUAGGCGGGUCUUUUAAGUCAGGGGGUGAAAUCCUGGAGCUCAACUCCAGAACUGCCUUUGAUACUGAAGAUCUUGAGUUCGGGAGAGGUGAGUGGAACUGCGAGUGUAGAGGUGAAAUUCGUAGAUAUUCGCAAGAACACCAGUGGCGAAGGCGGCUCACUGGCCCGAUACUGACGCUGAGGCAC
rnacentral:rRNA from 1 species